GUCCCUUUUGGGGCAUCUGAUAAAACUAGAACGAUACAAAAAAGAUUAACAUGACCCUGUACAAGAAUGACACGCAAAUUCAACAAUUCUCAUGUUUCU